rnacentral:misc_RNA from 1 species
CCUCCUUAUACGAUUUAGAACUUAUUUGUUCGUAGUGUCCACACAGAUGAUUGUUAGUUAGCUAAGCCACUGGCUUACCUAAUUAAUAUGCUCUUUAAAAAUUUGGAAAAGCUGAUAAUAAAAUUCGUAUAGAUAACAGUUGUUAUUUAUACAGAGUUUUCAAAAGUAAAAAAAUGCCAUUGAUUAUUCAAACGAAUAAUGAAUUGGUAUCUACUUUAGUAUUCAAUAUUAACUUCUGGCGAAGUUAAACUGUCACUAACAAAGACCCGUUUGGGUUGUAUGGUUAAGUGGCUAAGCGUACACGGUGGAUGA